GAUAGCCGAGCACGGCAUGAUUAAUUAAAAGAUGAGUGUCGUCUGCUCAUAAACCAAGUUUUUAAGAUUACAAAGAAAUCUCUGAACGACCACUGUUUUGGAAACGUAACGUGUCUGCACGAAAAAUAGCUCUACAAAUAAAAUGACAAAAAUGUGAUCGUCUUGUCAACUCUGGUCGCGUCUCGUUAUAGAAUAGCUGAAUGGACACUCUGUGCUGUUUAUAGCAGAUUUGAGGCCUGAACUGCCCAUCAUAACAACACGAUAUACAAGAUUUGGUACUGGUGGAAUUGACCACUGCAACAAUCUUAGUAUCAUCACUCUGAUAUAAACAGAUCCUGUUAGAUUGGAGAACCUACUGAUGACGAUUGAGUUCCGAAUCUCUUCUUCCCCUUUCUCUAAAUGUUCUCGUGUACACCCAUGUGAGUGUGGGUGUAUUCACGAGGAUCUCCUCUUUCCUAUCCCACUUGGUGUAACAGUCAAAUCUUCUGCGGAUGCAGCACUUGGAUGGAUGCCUGGCCGAAUUUCCCAGGCUUAAAGCCAGCUGGUGAAAGUUGUGAUCGAGUCACGGUUGAGUUGCAGCUUCUGCAUGCAGUUUAUCGAGCUGGUGCUAUACCAAGUGUAACUGCAGGAAAACUUCUUGAAUUGCCAGGUGAAGUCUGCGCUUCUUUGUUGCAGUCUAAUGUGCGCAUGGAUUCGUUGCAGUCAUCCAGUGAAAGGUGUGAUUAAAUUGAGCUGUUGCAUGCAGUGUUUGGUGCUGAUGUUGUCCUGGAGUGUGGGAGAGUCCCAUGCUUCAAGUCUUCUGGGAUCAGCCAUAUCCGAGUUGGCACUGGAUCAUGCUGCAUUGUGGAUUUGUGGUUGCCGGAAUGUUGGACAUCUAGUAGAACUGCAAGAAGACUCCUUGAAAUGGUUUACGUUUACGUAGCAGUGAUGUUGCUGUCCUAAAUGGCAUGUUGUUGCAGCCUAUACUGGUGAAAGAUUUGUUGGAUCGAGUUUUGCUGUUGCUGUUCCUUGGUGCCGGACUGCUGGUGUUGUGCAUGAAAGUUACAUCCAGUUUUAAUUGUUAUUUGUGUCUAUGCAGUUAACCGUUUAUAUGUUGAAAAAGAACAGAAAGGUUCCUUGGUGUUGAAUCGCUGGUGUUGUGCUACAUAAGUUACAUCCAGUAUUUUGUUUAAUUGCUAUUUGCGUCUAUGAAGUUAACCGUUUAUGUGUUGAGAAUGAAAAAAAAAUGUAAUACGGGGAAUUUUUACGUUGAACAAAUAAUAAACAUGCCUUCGCGAUUGGGAAACCAGCGAGGAGGAUAUGGGGGGGGGGGGGCAAUUGAUUUUCAUUAACUAGAAGGAAUCGUGGUUUGUUUUAAUAAGGUGGAAAUUAAAUCCUUUGUCUAUCACAUCCAUAUACCUAUCUAUAUAAUCACAUCUAUUCCACCAACCACAUAAUUUUCCAACAUCCAUUACUUAAAACCCAUAACUUCCACCAACAUCUAUUCCUUAAACCCCCAUUUACCCACAAAUAACUGGAAUAGGUAAAUAUUGUUGUUGAAUAAAUUCCCAUUUAUAUAAUA